GGUACCAUGGCCGAGUGGUGAGGCAGCGGUCUGCAAAACCGCGUACAGCAGUUCGAGUCUGCUUGGUACCU
rnacentral:tRNA from 1 species